GACGAACGCUGGCGGCGUGCUUAACACAUGCAAGUCGAACGGAAAGGCCCUGCUUUUGUGGGGUGCUCGAGUGGCGAACGGGUGAGUAACACGUGAGUAACCUGCCCUUGACUUUGGGAUAACUUCAGGAAACUGGGGCUAAUACCGGAUAGGAUCUCCUGCUGCAUGGUGGGGGUUGGAAAGUUUCGGCGGUUGGGGAUGGACUCGCGGCUUAUCAGCUUGUUGGUGGGGUAGUGGCUUACCAAGGCUUUGACGGGUAGCCGGCCUGAGAGGGUGACCGGCCACAUGGGGACUGAGAGACGGCCCAGACUCCUACGGGAGGCAGCAGUGGGGAAUAUUGAACAAUGGGCGGAAGCCUGAUGCAGCAACGCCGCGUGCGGGAUGACGGCCUUCGGGUUGUAAACCGCUUUCGCCUGUGACGAAGCGUGAGUGACGGUAAUGGGUAAAGAAGCACCGGCUAACUACGUG
rnacentral:rRNA from 1 species